rnacentral:lncRNA from 1 species
CGUCCUCCCAAAGUGCUGGGAUUACAGGCGUGAGCCACGGCGCCCGGCCGUAGAUAAGAAUCUUAGAGCUGUUAAAUAUCCCUAUGCUAGAUCAAGAUGGGUCCAGGGACCUAAAGUUGGCUGGAGCCCGCUGGUGGGAUUCAGUGCGGAGCAAACAGAAGCUGCUUGGAACAGUUGGUGUCUCUGAAAUGUUAUCACCUAAGGGUCCACGUGGAGAUGACAGUGAUAGAAGAUGAAGAAACUUUGUCCAGAUGUUCUGGGUAACUGGAAUGUGAAUAUCCACAGGUAUUUGUUGAAAGAAUAAAUGCAUGCCAAGAGAAGGGGAGGCACAGUGGAAGACACAGAGUGAAGAUACAGCUCCUGGUAAUUUCAGCACAAGGCUCUCAAUUCUUAACUGGGGCAGCAGGGAGCUGGCAUCCGCAUAAGCUGGAUAUGGCUUACUUGAGUGAAUGGAUCGCGUGCCCGGUAUUGACAUCCCAGAUUC